rnacentral:tRNA from 1 species
GAUUUCGUGGUGUAAUGGUAACACACUCGGCGUGUAUUCGAGAGGUCUAGGUUCGAGUCCCAGUGAGAGCA